rnacentral:tRNA from 1 species
GGUCUAUUAGCUCAGUUGGUUAGAGUGUUGUGUUAAUAAUGCAAAGGUUGCAAGUUCGAGACCUGCAUGGGUAA